CAGAGAAUAGUUUAUUUAUAAAAUAAUAAUUUUGGGGAUUAUUGAAAAGAGAGAAUCUUUUCUCUGA
rnacentral:tRNA from 1 species